rnacentral:rRNA from 1 species
GAUGAACGCUAGCGGCAGGCUUAAUACAUGCAAGUCGAGGGACAGCACAGGUAGCAAUACUGGGUGGUAACCGGCAAACGGGUGCGGAACACGUACACAACCCUCCUUUAAGUGGGGGAUAGCCUAGAGAAAUUUGGAUUAAUACCCCGUAAUAUAGUUGAAUGGCAUCAUUUGAUUAUUAUAGCUACGGCGCUUAAUGAUGGGUGUGCGGCUGAUUAGAUAGUUGGCGGGGUAACGGCCCACCAAGUCUACGAUCAGUAGCUGAUGUGAGAGCAUGAUCAGCCACACGGGCACUGAGACACGGGCCCGACUCCUACGGGAGGCAGCAGUAAGGAAUAUUGGUCAAUGGACGCAAGUCUGAACCAGCCAUGCCGCGUGAAGGAUUAAGGUCCUCUGGAUUGUAAACUUCUUUUAUUUGGGACGAAAAAGGGCCUUUCUAGGUCAACUGACGGUACCAGAUGAAUAAGCACCGGCUAACUCCGUGCCAGCCGCCGCCGUAAAAC